rnacentral:rRNA from 1 species
GGAUCUCUUGGUUCUGGCAUCGAUGAAGAACGCAGCAAAAUGCGAUAAGUAAUGUGAAUUGCAGAAUUCAGUGAAUCAUCGAAUCUUUGAACGCACAUUGCGCCCGCCAGUAUUCUGGCGGGCAUGCCUGUUCGAGCGUCAUUU